rnacentral:rRNA from 1 species
AUUGAACGCUGGCGGCCGGCCUAACACAUGCAAGUCGAGCGAGCGGCGGACGGGUGAGUAAUGUAUGGGGACUGCCCGAUAGAGGGGGAUAACUACUGGAAACGGUGGCUACUACCGCAUACUAUCGGAUAACCCCUAUGGGAUUAGCUAGUAGGUGGGGUAAAGGCUCACCUAGGCGACGAUCUCUAGCUGGUCUGAGAGGAUGAUUAGCCACGUGUGGACGGAUAAAGAGCCCGUACUCCUGCGAAGGCAGCAGUGGGGAAUAUUGCACAAUGGGCGCGAGCCGGAUGCAGCCAGGCCGAGUGUAUGAAGAAGGCCUUAGGGUUGUAAAGUACUUUCAGCGGGGAGGCGUUAACCGCAGAAGAAGCACCGGCUAACUCCGUGCCAGCCGCCGCGGUAAUAC